rnacentral:rRNA from 1 species
UACGUAGGUGGCAAGCGUUGUCCGGAUUUAUUGGGUUUAAAGGGUGCGUAGGCGGUCUUUUAAGUCAGUGCUGAAAUAUCCCGGCUUAACCGGGAGGGUGGCAUUGAUACUGAAGGACUUGAGUUCAGUCGAGGUAGGCGGAAUUGACGGUGUAGCGGUGAAAUGCUUAGAUAUCGUCAAGGACACCGAUAGUGUAGACAGCUUACUAGGCUGAAACUGACGCUGAGGCACGAAAGUGUGGGGAGCAAACAGG